CAACUACUCCCUCUUUCCCAAAUUUCUUGUCUUAGAUUUGUCUAGAUACGGAUGUAUCUAAUACUAAAAUGUGACUUGAUACAUCCGUAUCUAGACAAAUCUAAGACAAGAAUUUUGGGACGGAGGGAAUACUUU
rnacentral:pre_miRNA from 1 species